rnacentral:tRNA from 1 species
GGAGGGAUGGCAGAGCGGUUGAUUGCAGCUGUCUUGAAAACAGCCGGGGGUGCAAGCUCCUCGGGGGUUCGAAUCCCUCUCCCUCCGCCA